rnacentral:lncRNA from 1 species
GGGAAAGUUCCCUCUUUUUCCCCUCUGCUCCUGCUCCAGUGGCACAAUGUGAUUCACCGGCAAGGAGGGACGCAAAUAAUGCGCCUGAUAAGAGGUGGCUACCUUCUCACUGUCCCUUGGCAUGACUGCUGCUGACCAUGAAGGAGUCUAGCAUCCAUGACGGAACCCUAAUCUAGACUUAUAAAGACACCCACAAUAUUGGUUAAAGGCCAAUGCAAAAAGACUCAUUGUAGCAUAACUAUCUCCCCAGAGUCCUUGUUUGCAAUGCCAGUAGAAUUCAUAGGUACUGUAGAUGAAGGCUUCAACAUAAGAACUUUCAGGAAACAAAAUAUAGCCCACAAUGCAUGGCUUCUCAUAUAUGUGUGUGGUUUUAAUUUCUCUCUUCUUCAUUGUAAAGUAUUGUAUCAUAUUUUUGAGUAAAAGGUAGGUUAUGCAGGUAUCAAAUUGUUUUCCUUCCUAAAUCAGAAGUAAUUUUAAUCUCUUUCAUGUUUUCAGGAGGUUAUGAAAUACACACACCUGAUGUAAUGUAAAACUUUUGUAAACUAGGAGGGUAUAUUACAAUCAAACACAUUAAUUUACUGUAACAAAUUUUCAUAAGUAUGUAUGAUAUAUGUACACACACACUUCUCAGUCUGUGUCAGAUGCUGCAGUAUGAGUUUGUUAGCACACAUCAACACUGUCAGUUUCCAGAACUUGACUUUUUGUUUAAGAGGUGUAGAGAAGAACUGAAGGAUGAGUGGACUAUCUCUAUAGGGGUGGAAUUUAUAGCUCUACACUUCCUUUCAGAAUAGUAAAGGGAGUAUAAAAUAAUUGGCUUAAAAGGGAGUUUAGGCUGUGAUACAGUUGGCACAGUUUAAGAAAGACUUUUAAAUAACCAUAUUCUGGGAAUCAUUGACUGGGUUAAAGCCUAGCCUUGGUGUAUGAAAUGGUUCUCAGAGGUUAGAGCCCAUUCAUAAAUUAUGAAAUGUACAAUUUAGGCUAUUCAGCUCCACCUGCUUUUAUAACAAGGCAUUGCUCUCAAGACCACGGGUGCUCUGUUGAUAUGAAAAUGUUGUUUAGUGCUUUACACAAUGAAUCAUAAUGAUGAGUAUGAAAAGAUAGCCGAGGUCUCACAUCAUCAGGGACUUUGUCCUUUUCCAUUUCCCAUAAAAGGCCAGCUGUACCACCUUCUGAAGUUGGAGUGUAUUCAUGUGUUCACCAGAUGCCAGAGCACAAAUCAAAAGUGGUGAAAGAUGGAACAAAAUAUUUCACAAACAGAGGAAAUGUGAGCUAAGGAAAGAAGUAAAUGGGAGAGAGAGAGAGAGAGAGAGAGAGAGAGAGAGAGAGAGAGAGAGAGAGUGAAUAUUCAUAUGGAAACACUUUGAUGGGGGGGUAAAACUAACCACAGAACUGCAUUAAACAGCUAAUUUGCUGUAUAAGAAACAAUCAUUAAUCCUUCAGAAGUUUUAGGUGGACUCACACUAGUCUACAUUUGUCUAUUGAAAUCCUUAACCUAUUUUUUUAAACUUAAAACAUGGAAGUCAAAGCCAGUUUAUAGGUUUGCUGUAAACCUAGAUCUAG